CGUCGAUUCAACCAAAAUCUAACGCCUCACUAAUUGUGUCGCAACCCCCACCCGUGAACCUCUCCCUGAUUUUUCUCGUUUCCAAUCACAGCCGCAUCGGCCUUAAUUCUCUCGUUUCCAAUCGCGGCCGCACCGCCCGGAGCCACCCUCGCCCAGAUCCCUUCUCCCCCGCCUCCCUUGCAGCUGCCUUCUGCUCCCCUCGCCGUCAAGCAGCACGGCCACCCCACCAGCCAGCUCCGCCCCUGCUUCUCCAAAGCACAUCGGGUCAAAUCAGGUGUGCCAUCGGCUGAAUCGGCUGCCGGAGUAGCCCCGGCCGGCUGGAGAACCUGCAGCGGCUAGCUAGCCAGCCUUGUUGUUAGACAAUGGAUUGCUCGUUCUAUUCCUAGUGGAGGCUAUUUUUGGCGUAUGCGACAACCAAGUCGGAGGUGACGGAUGCACCUUCCGGACAUCAUCAGAGCCUACAAUGGGGAAGAGGGUGAUGGCAGCCAAACUGAAGUUGAGGGAGAGACUGUUGCUAGAACAAGUUUAGGCACACUAUGAUUUUAGUUUCUAUGUUUUGGAAACAUGUGUAAUCGAAUGGAAAACUAGCAUUGAAUGUUGGCAGGAAAUAAA
rnacentral:rRNA from 1 species